ensembl:snRNA U6 U6 spliceosomal RNA
GUGCUUGCUUUGGCAGCACAUGUACUAAAAUUGGAACAAUACAGAGAAAAAUAGUAUGGCCC